CAGUAGCCGCGGGAAUACGUAGGUGGCAAGCGUUGUCCGGAAUUAUUGGGCGUAAAGGGCUCGCAGGCGGUUUCUUAAGUCUGAUGUGAAAGCCCCCGGCUCAACCGGGGAGGGUCAUUGGAAACUGGGAAACUUGAGUGCAGAAGAGGAGAGUGGAAUUCCACGUGUAGCGGUGAAAUGCGUAGAGAUGUGGAGGAACACCAGUGGCGAAGGCGACUCUCUGGUCUGUAACUGACGCUGAGGAGCGAAUGCGUGGGGAGCGAACAGGAUUAGAUACCCCAGUAGUCCCUGUCUCUUAUAC
rnacentral:rRNA from 1 species